UGGGGAAUAUUGGACAAUGGGCGAAAGCCUGAUCCAGCCAUGCCGCGUGUGUGAAGAAGGUCUUCGGAUUGUAAAGCACUUUAAGUUGGGAGGAAGGGCAGUAAGCGAAUACCUUGCUGUUUUGACGUUACCGACAGAAUAAGCACCGGCUAACUCUGCGCCAGCAGCCGUGGUAAUACAGAGGGUGCAAGCGUUAAUCGGAAUUACUGGGCGUAAAGCGGGCGUAGGUGGUUCGUUAAGUUGAAUGUGAAAGCCCCGGGCUCAACCUGGGAACUGCAUCCAAAACUGGCGAGCUAGAGUAGGGCAGAGGGUGGUGGAAUUUCCUGUGUAGCGGUGAAAUGCGUAGAUAUAGGAAGGAACACCAGUGGCGAAGGCGACCACCUGGGCUCAUACUGACACUGAGGUGCGAAAGCGUGGGGAGCAAACAGG
rnacentral:rRNA from 1 species